GUGGAAAGAUAAACGCUCCAUUAUCAGAUACAAAUAGGACUCGCUACAAGCACUGCCACUGACGGUGCUCCAGAACCAUACUGUACUGGAUCGCUGGACUGCCCAUGCUCGGAACCGAGGAAGCUGGACCUGUAGAGUCUGAGGCAGCA